rnacentral:rRNA from 1 species
UACAGAGGUCCCAAGCGUUGUUCGGAUUCACUGGGCGUAAAGGGUGCGUAGGCGGUCGGGUAAGUCUGAUGUGAAAUCUCACAGCUUAACUGUGAAACUGCAUUGGAUACUAUCCGGCUCGAGGAAUGGAGGGGAGACUGGAGUACUUGGUGUAGCAGUGAAAUGCGUAGAUAUCAAGUGGAACACCAGUGGUGAAGGCGAGUCUCUGGACAUUUCCUGACGCUGAGGCACGAAAGCCAGGGGAGCAAACGGG